UACGAAGGGUGCAAGCGUUAAUCGGAAUUACUGGGCGUAAAGGGUGCGUAGGCGGUUCGUUAAGUCUGUCGUGAAAUCCCCGGGCUCAACCUGGGAAUGGCGAUGGAUACUGGCGAGCUAGAGUGUGUCAGAGGAUGGUGGAAUUCCCGGUGUAGCGGUGAAAUGCGUAGAGAUCGGGAGGAACACCAGCGGCGAAGGCGGCAACCUGGACAAGCACUGACACUCAACUGCGAAAGCGUGGGGAGCAAACAGG
rnacentral:rRNA from 1 species